rnacentral:lncRNA from 1 species
UAGCACGCCAAUAGCUCCCUUUCAUGUCUUUGCUCUCAAAUUGCUUAUUGACUGAUUACUUUUCAUUGCUAUUUCCCUUCCAGGCUCAUUGAAUUUCAUCCUUUCCUGUGCGUGAAAUGGCAAAGGGUUGGCAGCAUGUAGUCUCAAAAUUGAAGCUCUCCAUAUACCCAUGUAUUUGUUAAAUACUUCUUCCCAAUUCCCUCAGGGUGAAAGCUCCAGGGGUGCCCAUGCACACGGUUUUAUCCAAGGACCAAAGCCUAGAACAAUGGCUGGUCCAUGGUGGAUGCUCUGAGAGUGCAACUACAGACUUGAAAUGCACCAUUGUUCCUGCUUUUCAAAUGGAUGUUUCAAGGAAAAUGACUUCACUGCCCCUUAAAUGCAGAGCAUUCAGCUAAAUAACUAGACCUUUCAGAAGUUUCUGAGAAGAUGAAGACAAGGGAAAAAAAUUCAGCUCCAUAUCCACGGUUCCAAGGGCUGUGCCGCAUUCAUCCAAACUCUCGCUCUCCUACACCGGUUUGUCAAAUCCUUUAUUUAAAUAUCUCAUUAUCUAAGACAAUUUUGUACUUACUGUCAUGAAGGCUUAUGAAACCUGCAAACUUGUCUUGCUGGAACAGGUACAAUUUAAGCCAGUGAUUGUUCUAGAGAGAAAGGAAAGGUGAAGCAUGGCACCAUUGUAAAGAUUAGAGCAGGAAGGUAGACAGCCCUCACAGCUAACCUCUGUUCUCUGGGGUGUUUGUUUAGGCUCCUCAGACAAUGCAUGUAGCCUAAAGAAAGAGGGAGAAAAAUUGUAAGUCUUCAUGUAUAAUUUUUGUUGUUAUAUCUAAACUGAUAGUUGAGGGCUAGGAUCUGAAACAAUAUUUUAUAGAAGUAUCAUGUUGAAGUUUUUGCAGGUUUCAAAAUAUUUAAAUAUGUAAAUUUCAAUGGAGAGAUGUUCAGAUUUUUUGAUAGUCUAAUGAUUUUAAGCAUCUCAUUUCUAGUCACACACUGACAAAAGAUCUUCAGAUUGCAGUGUGAGUAGGUUUCUAUGGUUACAGUUGUUUCCUAGCAUUUUAGUGACAUCUUUUGUGAGCAUUGGCUGCUUCACUUAUUUGUCACUAAUGUAUGUGUAGAACUAUAGUUAAUAGCCUUGGGCGGACAAAAUUUUUUUUUCUGAAUGGCUGUAUUGUUUUUUAGCAGCAUUUUUCAAUAAGGUGACAAUGCAUUAGAAUACUAAUGGUAUGUAUGGUAUUUUAAGAUGUCAAGUUUUCAAUAAAAUGAUAAUGAAAAUUUUGCA